UCAUGAAAGGAGCAAGUUCAAGAUCAC
rnacentral:piRNA from 1 species